AACUGCCGACUCAUUCACUCA
rnacentral:miRNA from 1 species